AGGCGCGUAGCUCAGCUGGUUAGAGCACCACCUUGACAUGGUGGGGGUCGUUGGUUCGAGAAUCAAUCGCGCCUACCA
rnacentral:tRNA from 1 species